rnacentral:lncRNA from 1 species
ACAAAAGACAUAGAAUAACUACCAAGAUGGAUCACUACCCUGGCAAAUUGGGAAGCAACACCAACAACUAAUGCAUUAAGAACAUAUCCAAAGCAGCUGACAGAACAAACAAAAUAUCUACUAUGUCAACAACUAAAGGAUUUAUUCAACCUACACCAUUGCAUAUAUUGCAAUCAAAAAGAAGACAUUCCCAAGGUUUAUC